rnacentral:rRNA from 1 species
AACACAGGAGAAGACCAACAGGGAUUGCCUUAGUAACGGCGAGUGAAGCGGCAACAGCUCAAAUUUGAAAUCUGGCUCUUUUAGAGUCCGAGUUGUAAUUUGCAGAGGGCGCUUUGGCGUUGGCAGCGGUCCAAGUUCCUUGGAACAGGACGUCACAGAGGGUGAGAAUCCCGUACGUGGUCGCUAGCCAUCACCGUGUAAAGCCCCUUCGACGAGUCGAGUUGUUUGGGAAUGCAGCUCUAAAUGGGAGGUAAAUUUCUUCUAAAGCUAAAUACUGGCCAGAGACCGAUAGCGCACAAGUAGAGUGAUCGAAAGAUGAAAAGCACUUUGGAAAGAGAGUCAAAUAGCACGUGAAAUUGUUGAAAGGGAAGCGCUUGCAGCCAGACUUGCCUGUAGUUGCUCAUCCGGGCUUUUGCCCGGUGCACUCUUCUGCGGGCAGGCCAGCAUCAGUUUGGGCGGUUGGAUAAAGGUCUCUGUCAUGUACCUCUCUUCGGGGAGAACUUAUAGGGGAGACGACAUACAUCAGCUAGACUGAGUUCCGCGCAUUGCUAGGAUGCUAGCGUAAUGGCUGUAAGGGCCCGUCUUGAAACACGGACCAAGGAGUCUAACAUCUAUGCGAGUGUUAGGGUGUCAAGCCCGAGCGCGUAAUAAAAGUGAACGGAGGUGGGACCCCUUUUAGGGUGCACCAUCGACCGAUCCUGAUGUCUUCGGAUGGAUUUGAGUAAGAGCAUGGCUGUUGGGACCCGAAAGAUGGUGAACUAUGCUUGAAUAGGGUGAAGCCAGAGGAAACUCUGGUGGAGGCUCGCAGCGGUUCUGACGUGCAAAUCGAUCGUCAAAUUUGGGCAUAGGGGCGAAAGACUAAUCGAACUAUCUAGUAGCUGGUUCCUGCCGAAGUUUCCCUUAGGAUAGCAGUAACGUAUUUAGUUUUAUGAGGUAAAGCGAAUGAUUAGAGGCCUGGGGGUUGAAACAACCUUCACCUAUUCUCAAACUUUAAAUAUGUAAGAAGUCCUUGUUACUUAAUUGAACGUGGACACUUGAAUGUACCGUUACUAGUGGGCCAUUUUUGGUAAGCAGAACUGGCGAUGCGGGAUGAACCGAACGUGGGGUUAAGGUGCCAGAAUGCACGCUCAUCAGACACCACAAAAGGUGUUAGUUCAUCUAGACAGCAGGACGGUGGCCAUGGAAGUCGGAAUCCGCUAAGGAGUGUGUAACAACUCACCUGCCGAAUGAACUAGCCCUGAAAAUGGAUGGCGCUCAAGCGUGUUACCCAUACCCCACCGCCGGGGCAAGAUUUAAGCCCCGGCGAGUAGGCAGGCGUGGAGGCCCUGUGACGAAGCCUAGGGUACCCAGUUACCCAGUCC